GACGAACGCUGGCGGCGUGCCUAAUACAUGCAAGUCGAACGCAGUGGGGACGGGUGAGUAACACCUGGGUAACCUCCCAUCAGAGGGGAUAACACUUGGAAACAGGUGCUAAACCGAUACGGAUGUAUGGACCCGCGGUGCAUUAGCUAGUUGGUGGGGUAACGGCCCACCAAGGCCCCGAUGCAUAGACGAUCUGAGAGGGUGAUCGGCCACACUGGGACUGAGACACGGCCAAGACUCCUACGGGAGGCAGCAGUAGGGAAUCUUCGGCAAUGGACGAAAGUCUGACCGAGCAACGCCGCGUGAGUGAAGAAGGUUUUCGGAUCGUAAAGCUCUUUUGUUAGAGAAGCGGUAUCUAACCAGAAAGCCCCGGCUAACUACGUGCCAGCAGCCGCGGUAAUUC
rnacentral:rRNA from 1 species